rnacentral:rRNA from 2 species
UAAAAUGUGAUUUAUUAAGCUAAGUAAUUAAUAGUUAAGAUCUUUAAAGCUAAAUAAUUUGGCGGUACUUUAAACUUUUCAGAGGAACCUGUACUUUAAAUGAUAAUCCACGAUUAAAUUUACUUUAGUUAGAAAUUUUUAUAUCGUUGUUAUUAAAUAUUUUAUAAGAAUAUAAUAUUUAAAGUUUCUUUAUAAAGAAAAAAAUCAAAUCAAGGUGGAGUUUAUACUAAAGAAUUUAUGGGUUACAAUAAAUUUUAUUUUUGGAUUAUAAAUUUGUAAAGUUAUAUGAAAUUGGAUUUGAAAGUAAUUAAUUAAUAUAUUUUUUUAAUGAUUAAGCUCUAAAUUAUGU